rnacentral:rRNA from 1 species
UACGUAGGGCGCAAGCGUUGUCCGGAAUUAUUGGGCGUAAAGAGCUCGUAGGCGGCUUGUCACGUCGGGUGUGAAAGCCCGGGGCUUAACCCCGGGUCUGCAUUCGAUACGGGCUAGCUAGAGUGUGGUAGGGGAGAUCGGAAUUCCUGGUGUAGCGGUGAAAUGCGUAGAGAUCCGGAGGAACACCAGAGGCGAAAGCGGCGUCCUGGGGUGAGGUUGACGCUCAGACACGAAAGCAUGGGGAGCGAACGGG